GCAGGCCGGCGGCUCAUUUCUGCAGGCCUCAACUCACCCCGCAACUUUUAUUUUCCUCCUGUGCCGCUGACACUUGGGGCCCGCCAGGUCGUCUAUUUCCUCAAGACGAACUCCUGUUCGUUCAUGAGUUCUUCUUGCCGAUCCAAAUCCUCGCCGAUUCUGCCAAGUCUUUGCCCCUAGGCCACGGAAUCCACUCUAUAUAUAUUACCCAUCUUCUUCUCUUCCGACUUUUGGCAAAAUUUUGUCUUCCCGUGCCCGUUUCGCCCGGAUCCGAUCUCGCCGGAGUUCGCCGCUGCAGGAGCAUCUCGCCGGUUGAUUCUAUCGCCUCUGAAGGGGAGCACGGAAACGAGCGGUGCAACCUCGACCAGAAGCUUACCUAGUCUGGCCGCGACUCCAGCCGCACUUCAUCGCCACCAGAAAUCGUCCUCGACGCCGAGCAGGACCCAUCCGAGGCCUUCGUGUCACUCCGCGUCCGACGAGCACCUCCCCGAGGCCAUCUGACCUCUGUAUCCGUCGCCCGCAUCUCCACCGAGGCGCCCCGCGCCGUUCUUCUCCAACUCCGGCAGGCGUAUUCUGCUCUUUUCGAUUGUCCAGAGUGUGAAGCGGAUCAGAAUUGAGCGUUAUAAUACUUCAACACCGUUCAAGGCAAGUUUGCACUUUGAUUUUGCUUAUCCUAUAUUCUGCUAUGCAAGUGUGGUUUUUAUGCUAUGAUAUAUGUUUGGCCUGGCCGUGUUGUCAUGUUUUGGUAUUGAUUGUAUUAUGUGUUGGUGUGAUCAACUUGCUAUGGUAGACGUGGGCAUGUGUCGAGUGAUGCAUGGAAGUGGUGAGCGCUUAUAGCUGUAGGCUCGGGACUUUUUCUCACGUGAAUGCGUCACUGGUUGAGCGCUCUAUUGUCCCUAGAGAAUGCACCAUGACUGAGCGCACUUGAGUUGUCGGGGCUUUUUCUCACGUGAAUGCGUCACUGGCUGAGCGCUCUAUUGUCCCUAGAGAAUGCGCCAGGACUGAGCGCACUUGAGACAUCUUGAAGAUCUUUAUCAUCUAUGUUGUUUGCACCUUGCCUGUGUCGUGGAGGUAGGUGAAAGUAGUUUUACGGGAAACCAAACUUGAGUGUUUUAUUUGUCAUACCUUGCUUGUGGAUGUAGGUUUGCUAUAUCAUUAUGUGUGAUUUGCCAAUACAUUCAAUGUAUUGACCCUUGUGGCUGCAACGAAUCAUGUUGCAGGAUUUUCAGAUGACCAGUGAGACACAGUAGGGUCGCGAGUCUUCACUCAGCAUUUUCGCCAGUGGGCAUUGAUGGGAUUCCUCGUCUAUUAUGCUAUUUUUUCCGCUGUUGUUAUUGAAUAAAGUUAGCUAUGUGCUACUCAGUUUGUAAUACUUUAUGAAUUCUGGAUCAUACGUUAUAGUAAAUGAUACACUUGUUAUUUGAUAUUCAUAUGUACUGUGUGUGCUAGCGAGUCGAUCUAGGGACUAGCACAGUGAGCACAGAGACAUCGAGUCUUAUCAG